rnacentral:tRNA from 1 species
GGGGUUAUAGCUCAGUUGGUAGAGCGUUUCGUUCGCAACGAAAAGGUCGGCGGUUCGAUCCCGCCUAGCUCCAC